GUCCCUGUGCCGCGGGAGUCCCUGUGUCGCGGGGGCCCCUCUGCCGCGGGAGUCCCUCUGCUCCGGGGUCACCCUGACGUGGGGUCGCUCUGCCCCUGGGGUUCCUCUGCCGCGGUGUCACCUUGCUGCGGGGUUCCUCUGCUCCGGGCUCAUCCUGCCGUGGGGGUCCAUCUGCCCCGGGGUCCUUCUGCCACGGGGUUCCUCUGGCUCGGGGUCUCUCUACCGCAGGAGUCCCUUGACGCGGGGGUCCCUCUGCCCCGACGGUCGCUCUGCCCCCGGGGUCCCUCUGCUCCGGGGGUUCCUCUGCUCUGGGGUUAACCUGCUGUGGGAGUCCCUCUGCCUAGGGAUCACCCUGCUGCGGGGUCCCUCUGCUCCAGGGUCACACUGACGCGGGGGUUUCUCUGUCCCGGGGUACCUCUGCCACAGGGUCCUUCUGCCGCGGGGGUCCCUCUGCCCCAGGGUCCCUAUGCUCCAGGGGUCCCUCUCUCCCGAGGUCACCUUGCUGUGGGGGUCCUUCUGCCACAUCUCGAGGCUUCCAUGGUGUGCUCUACCCUCCACAUAGCAGAGCUGCCAGCCCCAGAUAUUGAUCUGUACUCAAGGGAAGCAGAAAGACUGUCCCACACCAUCAUCAGUUUCCAAGAUGAACAUUCCUAAGGUGAAAAUCAGUAUACACAGUGCUAACUUCAGCCUAGGAAGUCUGUUGGAUUAAGCAAUGGAAGCAGACAAAAAGCUCCUUAGAAAUGCUGUGGGUGACAAUUGUCUGCGGUCAGUUCAUUCAUCCCGGGGUGGUACUGUAUGUGGGAAGUGAGUGCGGGCUAACAAUGCCACAGCUGCUUUCCCAACCCACAUGUUGGUCAUGUGUAGGUCCUCCUCAGCCCAAUAAAGAAGUGGGCUGAAGCGUGAGUUGCCUUUCACUCCACUGAAAAUGGCUACAAAGCACUGCAGCUGAGUGAGUAGGGCUGAGUGAGAAGGCUCACCAAAGUUCAGUGUCAGUGUGUUAAGAAGCACAACUGUUUAAAGCAACUGGCUGGGCAGAUGAAAGGUAUUUGCAGGUUGUUCUCUAUCCAAAAGGGCAACAUUAAAAGUGUUGCAUAAUCAAAA